rnacentral:ncRNA from 2 species
GAGACUUGUUUCGACUACAUUGCCUGCGGCAACGGGGAAUUCCGUGAAAAUCGGAAACAGUCGCGCUGCGGUAACGGGAUACAACCUCCCAUUGUGCAACACAGGCACGAAAGCCAAUCCGGAACAUCUUCCGGGUGAAGGCGGGAGGAAGGCAUGAAGCCCGGAGUCCGAAUAUCCAAUGCCUGAGGUGAACCACC